rnacentral:rRNA from 1 species
UACGUAGGGUGCGAGCGUUGUCCGGAAUUAUUGGGCGUAAAGAGCUCGUAGGCGGUGUGUCGCGUCGGUCGUGAAAACUCGAGGCUUAACCUCGAGCUGUCGGCGGAAACCAUCUGGCUAGAGUCCGGAAGAGGAGAAUGGAAUUCCCGGUGUAGCGGUGAAAUGCGCAGAUAUCGGGAAAAACACCCGUGGCGAAGGCGGUUCUCUGGGACGGUACUGACGCUGAGACGCGAAAGCGUGGGGAGCGAACAGG